rnacentral:rRNA from 1 species
UACGUAGGGUGCGAGCGUUAAUCGGAUUUACUGGGCGUAAAGCGUGCGCAGGCGGCCCGUUAAGACAGGUGUGAAAUCCCUGGGCUCAACCUAGGAAUUGCGCUUGUGACUGGCGGGCUCGAGUACGGUAGAGGGGGGUGGAAUUCCUGGUGUAGCAGUGAAAUGCGUAGAGAUCAGGAGGAACACCGAUGGCGAAGGCAGCCCCCUGGGCCUGUACUGACGCUCAUGCACGAAAGCGUGGAGAGCAAACAGG